ACACUCCUGCGGGAGGCAGCAGUGGGGAAUAUUGGACAAUGGGGGCAACCCUGAUCCAGCCAUGCCGCGUGAGUGAUGAAGGCCCUAGGGUUGUAAAGCUCUUUUGUGCGGGAAGAUAAUGACGGUACCGCAAGAAUAAGCCCCGGCUAACUUCGUGCCAGCAGCCGCGGUAAUACGAAGGGGGCUAGCGUUGCUCGGAAUCACUGGGCGUAAAGGGUGCGUAGGCGGGUCUUUAAGUCAGGGGUGAAAUCCUGGAGCUCAACUCCAGAACUGCCUUUGAUACUGAGGAUCUUGAGUCCGGAAGAGGUGAGUGGAACUGCGAGUGUAGAGGUGAAAUUCGUAGAUAUUCGCAAGAACACCAGUGGCGAAGGCGGCUCACUGGUCCGGUACUGACGCUGAGGCACGAAAGCGUGGGGAGCAAACAGGAUUAGAAACCCCAGUAGUCCCAU
rnacentral:rRNA from 1 species